CCCGCGCUCGCGCGCCCCGUAUAUUGUGGGCGAGUGCCCGUGCUGCUCCGUCUGCUGAAGGUAUAUUGCUACAGAUGCUCAGUUGAUCUACGCAAUAAUCUACGCAGUACGGUUUUAGGUGCAUCCUCGCGAUACACAGAUCUGCCGGCUCCUUCCACCGACCAAGCUUGAUGUGGCGUGCCCAUGCGCACCUCGAUGCGUCGUUUGUUUUAUAAGGUGCACUGACCUAGCAAGGGUAUGGACUCUGAGGUCUCGGGCAUCUUCUCCGCUAUGGCCAGCAUGAACACGGAGAAUGCGAGCAGCACUGUGACGCCGAGUGCGAUCUUCUCGCCCGAGUCCGGCGGUAGACAGAAGACGAGCAGGGUUUUAACGUCGUCGGCGAAAUCGACAGCCCUCUGCGUCUCGGUCAACAGCGGGGCUGACACAAGGGGCUGGCGCACUGAGCGACGACAUCGGGCCCCGAUAGACAGCGCGUCGUUUCAAGCUUCGCAAGAUCGAUGCGCCGUGAAAGCAGUCGCAACCAGUAGGCAACGAACAAGAUGCAUCUUAGUCAUCAAGGAGGUUCCGUAACGAAGAUCCAAAUGACUUCGUGCACUCAGCCGACUCGCUUGCAUGAAGCGGACAUCCAUUGUCAGUGAUGUAUUGUGCAUAUAUUCGCCGUGGUGUAGUAGUACAUGGCUUUCGUGUUGCGCUGCUGAGCCCCAGGGCGCGUGACCGAAUUCCGGCCGCGGCGGCCUCAUUUCGAUGGCGGCGAAAGACAAAAGAACGCCCGCUUGCCGGGCAUUGUGUGAACCUUAAGAAACUCCAGGUAGUCAAAAUUAACCCUGCGUUUCCCCCUACGCCAUGCCUCAUAAUCAUAUCGGGGGUUCAGGCAGGUAAAACUUCACAACUUAAUUUUGAACGGCGCAAUUGUAAGUUCUGAUUUGAAUGAUGUUGUUAACGAGCGCUGCCAAAAAUGCCGCGACGAUUUUAUGACAGACGCUCUCGCUUAACUUCCUGCUUGGCAGAACUUUGGAAAAGCCCACACGGAUGAUCCCGCGUUGUUCAACUAAUCCGUCAUAAGGUCACCUAACGUGAAUAUGCAUUAUCGAACAAUGGCAUCAAUGUAAGCAUUUGCCUCCGUUGUUCGUUAUUCUAAAAUACACUGUAUGCAUUACGUUUUUUAUAGUCUUAUUCACUUGCCGAUGCUUCAACCCCUAAGUAUGAAUUCCGAGCAGGAAAGCGGUGAAUACGCAACAAUGGUGUGUUUUUAUUUUGUUGUGCGUCCCUAACCUUUACAUCAAUCGGUCAAAAGGCCCGUCAUCUGCGAGCGUUGAACUUAAUCUACUUCGCUAUUUUGCUGGUAUUUUCCAGCUUCCACUCCUCUUCUUUUUGUUGUUAUCUUUAGCUCGAGAAAUGGUCUUGUUAACAAGCAUAAGAAUAAGAAAAAAACAAUUUCACUCUGUGAAUGUCGAUGGCCAGCGAAGCUGUUUAGCGCACGAAACAGAGGUGACACAGAAAUUUGAACGAAGGUACGGACAUCUUCAUUUUCCUGAUCUGUGGUUAUCGUCAACAUACAGAUACGCACACACAUUCGCGUAUCAGCUUCGUUAUUAAAUAUGUCCGUCACGUAAGAUAAUGAAUGGCACAUACCACCUUAACCAAUGGCUCACACCCCCGUAAACGCGGCCUCCCCAUUACAACGACAGAAAAGUGAAAUUCUACGCUGGGAUGAGGGGCGGCAACGGAGCACACACUCGCAGGGGAAGCACCGCGUUAACACCUCUAACGUACGCUUCCGCUUCUCGUCGUCUCUCACGGCAGCUAUCGUAGUGAGGUCAUUAUCGAGCCACAGCCUGUCCCAGACUGUCCCAGACGAAAUGACGAUCAAGGAGGUCACUUUGGAACCUCGCGUUCGCACCCUUGAACUCACCCACGUUGAACUCUUGACGCCGAGAGCGCUUCACGCCAUUCUCUGACUCACGCUAUGCUUCGUCGUUUCUCGCUUGUCGCUUACGUGCCGUCUCGCAGGCACGCGCGUACGCCGCCGCAUUAUCGUCCGCAUGCCGUCAAGGAUUACGCUCGCGUCGCUGCUCCCUCCGUCGCUCUUCAUAAGCGCGCUGUUCUUCUGAAGUCGUGACGACGCGCGGCCUAGCCAUUGCAGCGGUGGAACGAAACUAAUAAUCACGUCGUUCACCUACAGAGCUGUGAUCGUAGCCGUACUCGAAAGAGCCAUUGGUGUUGAUGAUAGUAUUUUUGCACAACCGAGCCAGCUGUGGAAGAAGACGACAAUGAACGCGCGAGC